GCACAUAAAUUUGACCGUUUUCUUCAAAAUACGUCUACUUGCACUUGUGGCCAUCAUUAUGAAGAUGCCAUUCAUUUUCUAUUUAUCUGUCCAAAUUUUAAUAUAAUUCGAUCGCAGUGUUUCUAUUACAUAAAUGGUUUUAAUAUUUUAUCUGUACUAUAAGUGCAACUAGAUGUAUUUUGAUAGAA